ACAGCGUUUCAAAGUUUUCGUA
rnacentral:miRNA from 1 species